ACAGUGGUGAGUAAUGAUUACUGGGAUCAGCAAGAAGGCCAUAAAAGCAAUCCAAGGAUGACCAAAAUAGUGGACUGAAAUCGAUGUCUCAAAUGGAUUUGAAAUCUCAAGACUUCCAAAAGAAACAUGGUGAUGCAGAACCAUAAAUCCCAAGGCCUGCCAGGUCAGCUGACAAGUGAGCUGUUGUACUGGGCAAUUGAAAGGAAGCCUGUGUUCUAGGUUUCGAACUUGAAGGUGGUUCGAGACAAGAAAGAAAAAAAAUUGGUGAUGCAGGUACACACAAGAAUCUGAAUUAAUCUUGAACUCAACCUAAGUGAGAAAACUGCCCACUGACAUGUGCAAAAACAUCAAUCUUUCCCAGUAUUUCCCCUCAGUAAUUUCUCCACAGUAAUACAUGGUAUUAGCAUUCCUAAUUUGUCAACCUAUUUUGUCAACUUGUUUAAAAUAUACUG